rnacentral:tRNA from 1 species
AAAUAUUUUACAUAUUAUAAAUAAUAUUAUUUUUUGAAAAAAAAUAGAUAAGAACUUAAUAAUAA